ACUUUAUCUCCAUAGCUAUGCCCUAUUCCUAGAUAGUUGCGGUAAACGAAUCCCAUAUAGUUAUUCACACUCUUUUGCAGAGUGGAC